ACUCCUACGGGAGGCAGCAGUGGGGAAUUUUGGACAAUGGGCGAAAGCCUGAUCCAGCCAUGCCGCGUGAGUGAAGAAGGCCUUUGGGUUGUAAAGCUCUUUUAGUCGGAAAGAAAGAGUUGCAAUGAAUAAUUGUGAUUUAUGACGGUACCGACAGAAAAAGCACCGGCUAACUACGUGCCAGCGCCGCGGUAAU
rnacentral:rRNA from 1 species